rnacentral:rRNA from 1 species
CGGGGGGCAGCAGUGGGGAAUUUUGCGCAAUGGGCGAAAGCCUGACGCAGCAACGCCGCGUGAGUGAUGAAGGCUUUCGGGUCGUAAAGCUCUGUCGAUGGGAAAGAAGUGUAUUGGGGCUAAUAUCCUUGAUACUUGACGGUACCCAUAAAGGAAGCACCGGCUAACUCCGUGCCAGCAGCCGCGGUAAUACGGGGGGUGCAAGCGUUGUUCGGAAUUAUUGGGCGUAAAGAGCGUGUAGGCGGUUUGUUAAGUCUGAUGUGAAAGCCCUGGGCUCAACCCAGGAAGUGCAUUGGAAACUGGCAGACUUGAAUACGGGAGAGGGCAGUGGAAUUCCUAGUGUAGGAGUGAAAUCCGUAGAUAUUAGGAGGAACACCGGUGGCGAAGGCGGCUGCCUGGACCGAUAUUGACGCUGAGACGCGAAAGCGUGGGUAGCAAACAGGAUUAGAUACCCGCGU